CCUACGGGUGACAGCAGUCGAGAAUCAUUCACAAUGGGGAAAACCCUGAUGGUGCGACGCCGCGUUGGGGAAUGAAGGUCUUCGGAUUGUAAACCCCUGUCAUGUGGGAGCAAAUUAAAAAGAUAGUACCACAAGAGGAAGAGACGGCUAACUCUGUGCCAGCAGCCGCGGUAAUACAGAGGUCUCAAGCGUUGUUCGGAAUCACUGGGCGUAAGGCGUGCGUAGGCUGUUUCGUAAGUCGUGUGUGAAAGGCGCGGGCUCAACCCGCGGACGGCACAUGAUACUGCGAGACUAGAGUAAUGGAGGGGGAACCGGAAUUCUCGGUGUAGCAGUGAAAUGCGUAGAUAUCGAGAGGAACACUCGUGGCGAAGGCGGGUUCCUGGACAUUAACUGACGCUGAGGCACGAAGGCCAGGGGAGCGAAAGGGAUUAGAUACCCGGGUAGUC
rnacentral:rRNA from 1 species